rnacentral:rRNA from 1 species
GCGUAAUAGCUCACUGGUCGAGUCGGCCUGCGCGGAAGAUGUAACGGGGCUAAACCAUGCGCCGAAGCUGCGGCAGCGACACUAUGUGUUGUUGGGUAGGGGAGCGUUCUGUAAGCCUGUGAAGGUGGCCUGUGAGGGUUGCUGGAGGUAUCAGAAGUGCGAAUGCUGACAUAAGUAACGAUAAAGCGGGUGAAAAGCCCGCUCGCCGGAAGACCAA